rnacentral:rRNA from 1 species
AUUGAACGCUGGCGGCAGGCCUAACACAUGCAAGUCGAGCGAGCGGCGGACGGGUGAGUAAUGUCUGGGAAACUGCCUGAUGGAGGGGGAUAACUACUGGAAACGGUAGCUAAUACCGCAUACCAUCAGAUGUGCCCAGAUGGGAUUAGCUAGUAGGUGGGGUAACGGCUCACCUAGGCGACGAUCCCUAGCUGGUCUGAGAGGAUGACCAGCCACAGUGGAACUGAGACACGGUACAGACGCCUGCGGAGGGCAGAAGUGGGGAAUAUUGCACAAUGGGCGCACGCCUGAUACAGCCAGGCCGCGUGUGUGAAGAAGGCCUUCGGGUUGUAAAGCACUUUCAGCGGGGAGGCGUUACCCGCAGAAGAAGCACCGGCUAACUCCGUGCCAGCAGCCGCGGUAAUUC